UACGGGGGGGGCAAGCGUUGUUCGGAAUUACUGGGCGUAAAGGGCUUGUAGGUGGCCAACUAAGUCCGACGUGAAAUCCCUAGGCUUAACCUAGGAACUGCGUCGGAUACUGGAUGGCUUGAAUCCGGGAGAGGGAUGCGGAAUUCCAGGUGUAGCGGUGAAAUGCGUAGAUAUCUGGAGGAACACCGGUGGCGAAGGCGGCAUCCUGGACCGACAUUGACGCUGAACGGCGAAAGCUAGGGGAGCAAACGGG
rnacentral:rRNA from 1 species